rnacentral:rRNA from 1 species
UACGGGGGGGGCAAGCGUUGUUCGGAAUUACUGGGCGUAAAGGGUGCGUAGGCGGCGGAGUAAGUUGGGUGUGAAAUCCCGGGGCUUAACCUCGGAAUUGCAUUCAAUACUGCUUCGCUCGAGUACUGGAGAGGAGGCUGGAAUUUACGGUGUAGCAGUGAAAUGCGUAGAUAUCGUAAGGAAGGCCGGUGGCGAAAGCGAGCCUCUGGACAGUUACUGACGCUGAUGCACGAAGGCCAGGGGAGCAAACGGG